rnacentral:rRNA from 2 species
AGGUGAAAAGCACCCCGGAAGGGGAGUGAAAGAGAUCCUGAAACCGUGUGCCUACAAAUAGUCAGAGCCCGUUAAUGGGUGAUGGCGUGCCUUUUGUAGAAUGAACCGGCGAGUUACGAUCCCGUGCGAGGUUAAGCUGAAGAGGCGGAGCCGCAGCGAAAGCGAGUCUGAAUAGGGCGUUUAGUACGUGGUCGUAGACCCGAAACCAGGUGAUCUACCCAUGUCCAGGGUGAAGUUCAGGUAACACUGAAUGGA